rnacentral:rRNA from 1 species
GACGAACGCUGGCGGCGUGCUUAACACAUGCAAGUCGAACGGAAAGGCCCCCUUGUGGGGUACUCGAGUGGCGAACGGGUGAGUAACACGUGAGUAACCUACCCUUGACUUUGGGAUAACUUCAGGAAACUGGGGCUAAUACCGGAUAGGAGCUCCUGCUGCAUGGUGGGGGUUGGAAAGUUUCGGCGGUUGGGGAUGGACUCGCGGCUUAUCAGCUUGUUGGUGGGGUAGUGGCUCACCAAGGGUUUGACGGGUAGCCGGCCUGAGAGGGUGACCGGCCACAUUGGGACUGAGAUACGGCCCAGACUCCUACGGGAGGCAGCAGUGGGGAAUAUUGCACAAUGGGCGGAAGCCUGAUGCAGCAACGCCGCGUGCGGGAUGACGGCCUUCGGGUUGUAAACCGCUUUCGCCUGUGACGAAGCGUGAGUGACGGUAAUGGGUAAAGAAGCACCGGCUAACUACGUG